CGGCGUCCACUUUCAUUGGCCGAGGCGCGGACGCUGCCAUGUUGGAGGAAGCAGUGCCUUCUGUAAGGUGGAAACGCCGUGGCUUCACCGGUAGCGUUGGGGAGCGCAGCCUCCUACCUUUCCUCCCCGCUCGAGUGUCGGUGCUGAGAGGCGGCGGCCGGCGGGAUGGAGAGAAGUAGGAUGAACCUGCCCAAGGGGCCGGACACGCUCUGCUUCGACAAGGACGAGUUCAUGAAGGAAGAUAUCGAUGUCGAUCACUUUGUGUCUGACUGUAGGAAGCGUGUCCAGCUGGAGGAACUAAGAGGAGAUCUGGAACUCUACUAUAAACUUUUAAAACAGCCAUGGUGGAGCUCAUCAACAAGGAUUAUGCAGAUUUUGUCAACCUUUCCACAAACUUGGUUGGCAUGGACAAAGCCCUUAAUGAACUUUCUGUGCCUUUGGGACAGUUACGAGAAGUUCUGAGUCUCAGGUCAUCAGUCAGUGAAGGAAUUCGGGCAGUAGAUGAACUAAUGUGUAAACAACAGGACAUAAGGAAGAAAAAGAUGUGUGUGUUGAGGCUUAUACAAGUUAUUUGAUGAGUUGAAAAGAUUGAAAAAAUCUUAAAUUCACAAAGUUCUAAAGAAACCUCUGCACUAGAAGCAAGCAGCCCUCUCUGGACUAGAGAGAUUUUGGAGAGAAUUGCCACAGAAUUUAACCAGUUACAGUUUCAUGCUGUUCAGAGCAAAGGCAUGCCUCUUCUGGACAACGUAAGACCACGUAUAGCCCACAUUACGGCCAUGCUGCAGCAGUCCCUGGGAGGCCUGCUGCUAGAAGGGCUUCAGACUUCCAAUGUGGACAUCAUACGGCACUGCCUACAGACUUAUGCUACAAUUGACAAGACACGGGAUGCAGAGGCGUCACUUGGUCAAGUACUGGUGAAACCGUACAUGGAUGAGGUUUGUGCCCCCAUGCACCUCAUUCCACAAACACAGAGCAUCUAAUCUGGCUUCGUUUCUUGACUGGGUGCGAGAGAGCUCAGGGCUCUUCCUUGAAGAUGCUCUUAGUUCCUGCUCUUCUGGUUGUAAGAAAAGGUUGGUCCAGCUUAGAGCCCAUCAGCAUGGCAGGAAUCAGGCACGCACUCUUGUCUCUUCCAGUGAUGCCAUAACUCAGGGAUCAUCUUAAUUUAGUAGGGGUGAGGGACUUGCCUAGGAAGAAGGUACGGAUCAGAACAUUUUCAGGUCAAUUUCCAUUUCCAUAAGUUAUACGUUAAUGAAGUUGCCGAAAAGCGUGACCCCACCAAGGCGCCCGUGCCCACUGGAGGAGCUGGAAGACAGUUCUGUGCGCAGGGAAAGUCUGUGAGGGGAGGCGUCUUCACAGAAUUGAUGUGGCUUAAGUCUUGAAGACCAUGGGGGAGUUUGCCAGGCUAGGAAGGUGGGAGGGAGGGAAUAUUCAAAGAUAAAGGGCUUUGAAGGGUGAGUUAGCGGGGUAGUACCUUAAGUCCGGAACUUGGUUACCCAGUGUUCUUGACCUAUAAGGAUACAGUUAAAUACAGGGAGUCAGUGUAUCCUGCCUCUGAGCGGCCGGAGUAUGGGCUGCACCAUGUGAGACCGCCAGCAAUCAGCAGCUUCCAACUUAGAGAGCGUUGGUUUCAUCUAGUUCAGGCUGACAGAAGUCAUGAAGCCAGUCUCAGCGUUUGAGGGCUUUCUUCCAGUCACCUGCCAGUGCGAGUGCUCUUUCUGUCCAGUAAGUAUAAAGCUACCCACCAUGACUUCAGGAUGAAAGGCUUCCAGUUUUAAAACGAGACAGUAUCCCAGUGAUAGAAGUGAAAUUGAAGGAUUAAUUUCAGUAAUCUUCUCAGCUUCAUUAAGACUACUAAAAGUAAAUGAUCUGUCAGUUCUUUGUAUGUAUCCUAUUAUAGUUCAUAGCUCUCUCUGUGGGGGUGAAAAAGAUCACAUUAUUCUUUGUCACUAAAUGAAAAUAUUUUAGUUGUUUAAUUUAGGCCCUUUUCAUUGAACUGAAUCUCAUAUGCUAAAUUAGGGAAGUACUUUACGUUUCCGUGUCAUUAAGUGAACUGUGGCCACGUUUGUAUUUUAAGUUUGUAUGCUUGUCAUUCACCUCCUGCAACUCAGCCUCACCAAAAAAAAAAAUAAAUAAAUACUAAAGCAAAAUAAGAUGUGUUUUCUUCCAUCACUUUCCAUCUCAGCCCUUUCCCUGUUCUGGAGACGGUAGAGGAUAAGGCCAGGGUGAAGAUGGUACAGAGCUGUUGUCUGCAGAUACAGUAUUUCGCUUUUAAGCUCAGAAGGGAAGCAGAUGAGUGUGUGUGAUGUUUUAGCUUCAGGCCAGUCUCUGUCCCUCAGCCUCUGUGUCCCCCAGGGUUGGAGCAGUAUUCCCAAAUCCUGGGACCUAGAUUUUCAUGCCAUUGUUACUUACCUCCUGUUUAGAAAGCAUACUGAGUGGGGAGGAGGAAGGACGAAGUGCAUUUGUAAGGUUUACUCGAUUCUUUUCUCUGUAGUGUAUAGUUCAUACUUCUCUUUUAGGUGCUUUAAAAACAAACAAAAACAUAAACAAACAAACAAACAAAUAAAUAAAUAAAAAUAAAAUGCUCUUCCUUCUGCUAGGUGAUUAUAGAGCAGAUAGUUGAGUCUCAUCCAGAUGGCCUGAAGAUCAUGUAUGCUAAUAAGCUCCUGGAGUUCGUUCCUCACCACUGCUGCCUUCUUCGAGAGGUCACAGGAGGAGCCAUCUCAAGGAAGAAGAGAUUAGGACACAGACAGUACAGACUGAAGGACAAUCGAUUGAAGACAGAGUGGAGAACACAGCUAUCUGCAAGCCAAGGAGAGACGUUUGAAGAAUCGAACCCUACUGCCACCUUGAUCUUGGACUUCCAGCGCCCAGAACCAUGAGGAAAUAAAUUGUAUGUUGCCUAAGCCA